AAAAACAUGUCUUAAAAAAAUAAUUUUAAGUCUAAUCUGCUCACUGAAAAUUUUAAAGAGCCGCAGUAUUUUGACUGUGCAAAGGUAGCAUAAUCAAUAGUUUUUUAAUUGAAAACUGGAAUGAAUGAUUGAAUGAUAAAUUUUCUUUCUUAACUUUAAUUAUUGAAUUUAAAUUUUAAGUUAAAAUUCUUAAAUAAAAUUAAAAGACGAGAAGACCCUAUAGAUUUUUAUUUAUAUUAAAGUUAAAUAUUAUUAGAUUUUAGUUAAAAUUUAAUUGGGGUGAUUUUGUGAUAUAAAUAACUUAAUUUUUAUAUACCAUAAAUAAUUGAAUUUUUUGAUCUAAAAUUUUUAAAUAAAAGAAUAAAUUACCUUAGGGAUAACAGCGUUAUAUUAUUUAAGAGUUCAUAUCUAUAAUAAUAAUUGCGACCUCGAUGUUGAAUUAAGAAUUAUAUAGGAGUAGAAGCUUAUAGAAUUAGUCUGUUCGACUAAUAAUAUCUUACGUGAUCU
rnacentral:rRNA from 1 species